AUGUGCCAGAAGGACCAUAUCCAGGGUCACACCGCUGCGACUCCUCCUCUGCCAGGCGGCGCGCUCUCCCCGGCUCGGACACGGGCUGCGAGGCAUGUCGCUGGCCGCGCGGGCAGGCCGCUGCCGGGGGUCGUGGUGCCGUGUCUUUGGACAUCCGGCACGCGGACGUUUUCCGGCUCCCCGCACGCCUCAUGCACGGGGCACAGCCGGGCGAGGGGACGGCGGGGCGGCUUUGCCCACGGCCGGUCCCGGCAGCGUGGUCCCGACGGCCAGACGGCAGCAGCCGCCCAUCCCGCAGCGCAGGCGGCCCCGCGCUCCCCGGCCAGCCCACGACAAGCRCCGCUUUCUCGGCUUUUCCCCCCACAGCAGCCUGCCCCACACGUCCUGCCCCACAGCGGCCUGCUGCCCAGCACCGGCCCCACAGCGGCCUGCCUCACAGUGAGCUGCCCCACAGCGGCCUGCCCCACAGUGGCCUGUCCCACAGCAGCCUUUCUCACAGCGACCUGCCCCACAGCGACCUGCCCCACAGCAAGCUGCCUCAAAACAAGCUGCCCCACAGCGACUUGCCCCACAGCAGCCUUCCUCACAGCGACCUGCCCCACAGUGACCUGCCCCACAGCAAGCUGCCCCACAGCGGCCUGCCCUACAGCGAGCUGCCUCACAGCAUCGGCCCCACAGCGCCUGCCUCACAGUGAGCUGCCUCACAGCGGCCUGCCCCCCAGCGCCUGCCCCCCAGCGCCUGCCCCCCAGCAAGCUGCCUCACAGCAACCUGCCCCACAGCAACCUGCCCCMCAGCGCCUGCCCCACAGCCGCCCAGCGGCCUUCCCGCCCUGGGGGCCCCCAGCGCCAGCUGCCCAGCGACAAGAGCCGGAGCGGCCCUCCAGGCCUGGAGGCCGGGCGGCGCCGAAGCCCCUCGGACACAGGGACGUGGGACACGGACGGUGGCAGCAGGUAGGAAAAGCCCUGGGGGCGGAUUUGGGGCAGGGAGCGAGGCCCCGGGGUGGAGCGGCCGCCGCGAGGCAGGGCCCGCCAGGCCAGGGCCAGCGCAGCCGGAGCGGGAGCCGGAGCUGGAGCCGGGGCGUCCCGGGCCUCGCUGAGCUGCCGGGGGCGGCCGGGCGGCUCCGCGCACCGCGGAGGCAGGGGGACGCGGAGCACCUGUGUCCGGCGCCCGCGGAAGGAAGCGGCGCCAGCCCGCGGCCACCCUUGGGGCGAGGACCUGCCGGCAGGGCUUCUGCGUGGAAGCUCUCCUGGGAAGAGGCCAGGAAGGCGGUUUUCAAAUUUUGUGGUGACCGAAAUCACAAAAAGGGGACAAAGAAGGGAAAGGGGCUAUUCCUUUUUUUAUUUUGCUUUAUGCUUUGCGAAACUCAGUUUGGUUCUAAUUAG
rnacentral:lncRNA from 1 species